rnacentral:lncRNA from 1 species
GUUAUUAUUAUCACGAAAGGAAAGGCUAAGGCUCAAAAUUGGUUCACUAAGGGAAAAAUAGGGUUAGGCUUUUUGGCCAAAUUGUGUAAAUCCUAAGUGCCCAAAUCAUCUCACGAUUAUUGACAAAUCAUGUAAUCUCAAAAGAUAUCGUAAAGCAAGUUCUAGAAACAGAGAUUCUGUACAAUGCUCACUAAUGAAAGAAAAGGAAGCAUAAAAAUAGUGAUGCACUAAUUGGCUCAAAAUCUCACCAUUUGAGUGGGUUAAAAUUGCAUGAAU